rnacentral:rRNA from 1 species
AUUGAACGCUGGCGGCAUGCCUUACACAUGCAAGACGAACGGCAGCGGGGGAGAAGCUUGCUUUUCCUGCCGGCGAGUGGCGAACGGGUGAGUAAUACAUCGGAACGUGCCCUGUAGUGGGGGAUAACUAGUCGAAAGAUUAGCUAAUACCGCAUACGACCUGAGGGUGAAAGUGGGGGACCGCAAGGCCUCAUGCUAUAGGAGCGGCCGAUGUCUGAUUAGCUAGUUGGUGGGGUAAAGGCCUACCAAGGCGACGAUCAGUAGUUGGUCUGAGAGGACGAUCAGCCACACUGGGACUGAGACACGGCCCAGACUCCUACGGGAGGCAGCAGUGGGGAAUUUUGGACAAUGGGCGAAAGCCUGAUCCAGCAAUGCCGCGUGUGUGAAGAAGGCCUUCGGGUUGUAAAGCACUUUUGUCCGGAAAGAAAUGGCUCUGGUUAAUACCUGGGGUCGAUGACGGUACCGGAAGAAUAAGGACCGGCUAACUACGUGCCAGCCGCCGCGGUAA